GAAAAACAUGACUUGGUGCAGAAACCCUUGCUAGGCCACUCCAUGACCUUAAUGUGCUUCUUCUUGAGCCACUCCUUUGUUGCCUUGGCAGUAUGUUUCGGGUCAUUCUCAUGCUGGAAGACCCAUCCAUGACCUAUCUUCAGUGUUCUGGCUGAGCGAAGGAGGUUCUCGUCCAAGAUUUUACAGUACAUUUUAUAUAAUGUGUUUUUUGAAUUUUUUGGUUGGUAUUCUGUCUCUAUCUGUCAAAAUAAACCUACAAUUACAGACCCUUCAUUUCUUUGUACAAAAUCAGCAGGGGAUCAAAUAAAUAUUUUCCUACUGUAAAAAUACCACAUACAGAUUUAAUAAUGAAUAAAGAAGUCAAAUAAAUUAUCUUUCCAUGAUGCACUUUUAUUAAAAGACACAGAUCAAGAUGGAUUUUGGGGGCUUUGUCCUGCUCCCCAUUCAGACCGUGUUUCAGGGAUUGCGGUGGUUGUUACACUGCUGGGCUUCACAUUGGGUUGUUCUACUGCACUCAAGACGGGACCUCCAUCUACUUUAGGUACACAAGAAGAUGCUGAGAUCUCUGGUGAUGGUGCUACUAGUCCUUCUAAAGACUCAUUUGUAAAGGUUUGUGAAUUGUUUGGUACUGUGGGCACAUCUGUCAAUGAUUGUGUGUGUCCAAAAGCUAAGACAUUAGUCUUCAUAUCUGAUAGAUUAUUAGAAACUGGAGGUAUCUGUGGGCUCUCAAGCAUUGGUGUUGUUGCUGUGAUGGCACACCUCCUUGUGCUGCAGCUUCAGCUUUUGCUAAUUCUGCAGCUUUGCUCUCCAUCUCCUGCAUUCGCUUCUGCACCAUCGCGGGCAUCAGCUGCACAUACGUGCCCAUUAAACGGUGAUUGGUCCUUAUUAAUUUGCCAGCACAACUGUCAGCACAUCGCUCCUGGUAAAACAACACAAACACAUUUUUAUUUAUUUUUUUUGCAAUGCAUGCAACAUCUUCAUGAAUUCAAGACUUUCUGCUCUGAUUUAAAACGUUUUAAGGCCUUAAAUAGUUGAAGACAGAAUUAAGACAUUUUAUGACCUGCAG
ensembl:lncRNA